GUUUGAUCAUGGCUCAGGAUGAACGCUAGCGGCAGGCUUAAUACAUGCAAGUCGAGGGGCAGCACGGGUAGCAAUACCUGGUGGCGACCGGCAAACGGGUGCGGAACACGUACGCAACCUUCCCAUAACUGGUGAAUAGCCCUCCGAAAGGAGGAUUAAUACACCGUAACUUAACGAAGUGGCAUCACUUUGUUAAUAUAGGCUUCGGCCGGUUUUGGAUGGGCGUGCGCCUGAUUAGGUAGUUGGCGGGGUAACGGCCACCAAGCCUGCGAUCAGUAACUGGUGUGAGAGCACGACCAGUCACACGGGCACUGAGACACGGGCCCGACUCCUACGGGAGGCAGCAGUAAGGAAUAUUGGUCAAUGGACGAAAGUCUGAACCAGCCAUGCCGCGUGAAGGAUUAAGGCCCUCUGGGUUGUAAACUUCUUUUAUCUGGGACGAAAAAAGGGUAUUCUUACUCACUUGACGGUACCAGAGGAAUAAGCACCGGCUAACUCCGUAG
rnacentral:rRNA from 1 species